GAUGAACGCUGGCGGCGUGCUUAACACAUGCAAGUCGAACGGAAAGGCUCCUGCUUGCAGGGGUACUCGAGUGGCGAACGGGUGAGUAACACGUGGGUGAUCUGCCCUGCACUUCGGGAUAAGCCUGGGAAACUGGGUCUAAUACCGGAUAGGACGAUGGUUUGGAUGCCAUUGUGGAAAGUUUUUCGGUGUGGGAUGAGCUCGCGGCCUAUCAGCUUGUUGGUGGGGUAAUGGCCUACCAAGGCGUCGACGGGUAGCCGGCCUGAGAGGGUGUACGGCCACAUUGGGACUGAGAUACGGCCCAGACUCCUACGGGGGGCAGCAGUGGGGAAUAUUGCACAAUGGGCGCAAGCCUGAUGCAGCGACGCCGCGUGGGGGAUGACGGCCUUCGGGUUGUAAACUCCUUUCGCUAGGGACGAAGCGCAAGUGACGGUACCUGGAGAAGAAGCACCGGCUAACUACGUG
rnacentral:rRNA from 1 species